UGUACUCAACGUCCCCCACCUCCCCACGAAUGGUUAACCUCUUCCCUCUAUCCACUUAUUCCUUGAUUAUCUACACUUCUCCACAUCACACAGCCAAACUUGUGGAAAAGGGGGGCAACACAACUUUAUCUCCUUGCAGACCUCCCUAAAAAAAAAUCUCACUGCGGGCCGCCACCACAAAUCCUCAAUCGAUCUCACCUGAUCCACCGCCGCCGCCACAAAUCCUCCAUCGUUCUCACCUGAUUUCCCUGCACCGCCGUUGGCUUGGCGCACAUCUAGGUUUCCCCACUUGAUCCUUGGGUAUGACGGUUCCCUCCCCCGGCAUGUAGACCACGGCUGGACAAGAAAUUGUCACGGUGCUGCUGGCCAUGUCCACCGCCGGCACCAUCGCGCUCUCCCUGGAAGCCCCGCUCCCCGCGCUCCAUUUUGAUAGUCACCGCAGGGAACGACUACAAGAGAAAGACGCACAAGGUGUCCGAGAUGCGCCGGGGAUGGGGAAGGUCAUGCGUCGCUGCGCCGGGAGGCAGCAUCUACUCCGCUAGAAGAAUGCUAAGCAAAGAAUUUGGAUCAGAUGUCAAUAGCGCAGGGGCAGGGGGGCUACUCGAUGGGCCAAAAAAGCCGAGGUUUGGUUGCAGUUCCCAGAUGCACAGCAGUGGUGCGGCGACUCCCAUAUGCACAACGGUGGCGCGAUGACUGCGAGAUGUACAGAAGUGGUAGUGAUGACAUUACGCGGUGACUGUGGACUGUGACGUCAAAGGACAAAACAUGGUUCAGAUUCAUAAGAUAUUUUGACGAUGCAUGGCUUAGACGUUGAUUGCAUGGUCCAGAAUGGUGCUGCAUGAUAGUCUUAUCAUCUGAUUGCAAGGUCGAGAAUGGUGUUGUUGCUGGAUAGUUUUAUCAUCUGAUUGCAAGGUCGAGAAUGGUGUUGCUGCUAUAUAGUCUUAUCAUCUGAUUGCAAGGUCGAGAAUGGUGUUGCUGUUGGAUAAUCUUAUGUUAUGUUUUAGGAUAUCAUUUCCAGUGUCAAUGUUUCAAAACUUCUAAUUUCGAAUAGUUGAGAAAAUGAUUGAAAGGUCCAGAAUUGGGCUAGUAUUGUAAUCUUUGGAUCAUGUUCUUUGUAAUGCAACAGAGGAAAUUAAAUAUAUUAGACCUUUCUCAUA